UGUCUAGGUGGUUCCAAGUGGGAGAAAGAAGUGGACAUGAACAAAUCCGACAGACCCAAAUGGCAUCACAGGAAAACUGAAUAUCCAUGUAAAAUAGUGUACUCUAAUUUCGCUGCAGAGGACAAAACGAGCUUGUCGUUUUCCUCUCCACUACGUUUCGGUCAAUCCUAGCGUGCUCGGUGACUAGUAAGAAAAGAAGUGAGUGGUGAACCAACAUGCAAGGGGAGGGCCGGCGGCUAGUGAUAUGGUUCCCAUUUGGUUGUUGCCGAAGUGGCCUGAACCUUGACUAGCGAACUCGUGCGACACAGUACCCCCAGCAGUACUGAGCAUCACUUCAGUACGUAAUUUCCUUCCAUUUGCCAUCGAUUGAUAUGUUUUUUUUACUUACCUGGUCGUCUUCUAGUUCUAGCCAGGAUCAACUUGAAGUGGAAAACGGAUCCUUUCCAGGGAGUUAUGAUCAGUUUAUGACUGAAACUUUUCAACCCAUUUUUUGAGAGACUGCUUGUUUGCUUGGUUCGUGUUGUUUGCAAUCAGGUCUUUGCAAGGCUUCCAUGAUCUUAAUCAGCUCUACGAUGGAUAGAAAUUGCUAGGUGUUUGCUAACAAUACGUUGUUAUCAUGAAUUGAUUGCCUCCUUUUUACCUAA